UACCAGCACCCCGAGUGGUCGGGACGUUUAUUGGGCCUAAAGCAUCCGUAGCCGGUUCUACAAGUCUUCCGUUAAAUCCAACUGCUUAACAGGUGGGCUGCGGAAGAUACUAUAGGGCUAGGAGGCGGGAGAGGCAAGCGGUACUCAGUGGGUAGGGGUAAAAUCCUCUGAUCCAUUGAAGACCACCAGUGGCGAAGGCGGCUUGCCAGAACGCGCUCGACGGUGAGGGAUGAAAGCUGGGGGAGCAAACCGG
rnacentral:rRNA from 1 species